GACACGAGGGCCAUCUGGCUGCAAUCUGUCACCCCACUGUUCUCCAGGGAUGACUCUGGCUGGCAUGGCUGGCUAGUGGCUGUCUCCUUCCUCCUGAGGUCGUGCGCCUGGCCACAAAGGACAACCUUCUCCAACAGAUCACGACCGUCCUUUGGUCAAGGGUACACAGCAGGACACCCCCGAUAAAGGCUCCACACAAGCUCUCAAGGUCCAUAGCAGCUUGUCCACAAUAGCCAAAAGGUGGAAGUGACCCAAGUGUGCAUCACCGGAUGAAUACAGAAUGUG
rnacentral:sRNA from 1 species